GACGAACGCUGGCGGCGUGCCUAAUACAUGCAAGUUGAGCGCUGAAGGUUGGUACUUGUACCAACUGGAUGAGCAGCGAACGGGUGAGUAACGCGUGGGGAAUCUGCCCUUGAGCGGGGGACAACAUUUGGAAACGAAUGCUAAUACCGCAUAAAAACUUUAAACACAAGUUUUAAGUUUGAAGGAUGCAAUUGCAUCACUCAAAGAUGAUCCCGCGUUGUAUUAGCUAGUUGGUGAGGUAAAGGCUCACCAAGGCGAUGAUACAUAGCCGACCUGAGAGGGUGAUCGGCCACAUUGGGACUGAGACACGGCCCAAACUCCUACGGGAGGCAGCAGUAGGGAAUCUUCGGCAAUGGACGAAAGUCUGACCGAGCAACGCCGCGUGAGUGAAGAAGGUUUUCGGAUCGUAAAACUCUGUUGGUAGAGAAGAACGUUGGUGAGAGUGGAAAGCUCAUCAAGUGACGGUAACUACCCAGAAAGGGACGGCUAACUACGUG
rnacentral:rRNA from 1 species